rnacentral:tRNA from 1 species
GUUAAUGUAGCUUAAUAAAAAGCAAAGCACUGAAAAUGCUUNNAUGGUGAAUUUUAUACCAUAAACA